AUACUUACUUGGCAGGAGAGAUACCAUGAUCAUGAAGGUGGUUUUCCCAAGGUGAGGCUUAUCCAUUGCACUCCAGAUGUGCUGACCCCUGCAAUUUCCUCAAAUACAGAAAACUUGACUGUAUAAUUUGUGGUAGUGGGGGACUGCGUUUGUGCUCUCCCCUG
rnacentral:snRNA from 1 species